GAUGAACGCUGGCGGCGUGCCUAAUACAUGCAAGUCGAGCGAACAGAUGAGGAGCUUGCUCCUCUGACGUUAGCGGCGGACGGGUGAGUAACACGUGGAUAACCUACCUAUAAGACUGGGAUAACCUCGGGAAACCGGAGCUAAUACCGGAUAAUAUAUUGAACCGCAUGGUUCAAUAGUGAAAGACGGUUUUGCUGUCACUUAUAGAUGGAUCCGCGCCGCAUUAGCUAGUUGGUAAGGUAACGGCUUAUCAAGGCGACGAUGCGUAGCCGAACUGAGAGGGUGAUCGGCCACACUGGAACUGAAACGCGGUCCAUACUACUGCGGGAGGCAGCAGUAGGGAAUCGUCCGCAAUGGGCGAAAGCCUGACGGAGCAACGCCGCGUGAGUGAUGGAAGUCUUCGGAUCGUAAAACUCUGUUAUGAGGGAAGAACAAAUGUGUAAGUAACUAAGCACGUCUUGACGGUACCUGAUCAGAAAGCCACGGCUAACUACGUG
rnacentral:rRNA from 1 species